rnacentral:lncRNA from 1 species
AAGUUCUCCCCGCGGUAGACUUCAAAUACUCUUUGUCCUGCCCCUGCUUGGCGAAAUUUACCGAAAUUAUCUACCUAUCCCGCUGGAGUGGGAGCCGGGGGAGAGCUGGAACCGCGUCUCUGCUGCUCACCUUUGUGUCCUUAGCUCCUUCGCAUGGGGUCCGACCGCAACACGUGCGCUGGAUAAACGCUUGUUAACUGGAGCUCCCUCUUUGCCCACUAGCAGGGCAUUAGCUGGUGCUGAAGACAGUGGCUGCUUGGCGAGCCUGGAUCUCCAAGUGACCCCCUCAGCAACUCCUGAUGAACAGGACUGAAGCCAAUAUUAAAGCAAGUCAACCAAAGGUUCUCUGGUGUAGACAAGACAGCAAAAGGACAGACUACCUUGUGGAACCUAGCAUUGUUCUCCUUCUGCAGCACUAAGUAACAUUUGUUCUCCGUUAAGAUCUUUGCAAACCACACACAAGAAUUGCUGGUCAUCCUGCCAAUAGAUGCUGCUCACAGAACCAAAUUUCCUGUGCUGAAUUGUCACUCAUGGGCUUGAGAGUAGGAGACUGGAGACCAAGGUGGCUAGAAUCCAGUUGGGCCUGAUGUCUCCCUGUUGAAAGGGCUCCUUGUGGAAUGAAUAGCACAUGGCUCCUGUGGUGGAUCUGAUAGUGGCAUAGCACCAAGUGAUGCAGGCCUGCCAGGGGCCACAGACACAGAAGAUGCUCCCGGGGUCCCCCAUGUACUCCAGACACACUGCAGGCCACCUCUCCCAGCAGGUUGCCAGUCAUGGGCCCCAUCAUCAUGACUUCUGUCCAAGGUGUGCUCGGAAAUCUCUUCCUUAACUGUGACUUUCUGACAGGUGGAGGAUGUGGUCAGGAGUGGGAAAAGGAUUCGAGACGGGAAGAGGGAGGGGUUCAGGAUGAAGAGAGAUAAUCUGUGCCACAGAUGCUGGCCCUGCAGUUAGCUCCCACCUAGUCCGUGCACACACAUUCUAAUCCCCUCCCAUUCCUUUACAUGCUGCGGCCAGAGAGGCCUUUCUCAAAGUGGAAGUCUCAUCCUCACUUCUCUGGUUACAGUGCUGGGCCAUGGUAACUUACAAGGCUUAGCAGGAACUGUCUGCGCACUCCCCCUUCCUGCCCACUACCUUGUUUCCCUCCAGUUGCGAGAGAAAACAUUGAUUGAGCAUUAACUAUGUGCCAGGCUUGUCCUAAGUCCUUUGCAUGUAUUCACUCAAACAAUCCUCACAACAUUCCUAUCACAUCUCCCAUUUCACAGUGAGGGUUCUAAAGCACGUAGUGGGUGAGGAACUUGUCCAGGGUCACACAACUAAGUGGGGGUGGAGAAACAUCAAAUCUAGGUGGUCCAGGUGGUGGCCAGAACCCAUCAGCACCUCACUACAGCUGCCUCCAGUUUCUCGCUCUAGGAAAUACUCUUCCCUGUCAACUCCUGUUGUCCUCUGGGCUCAGUUGACAUGUCAUCUCCUUGAGGAGGACAUCCUGAGAUGCUCCCCGACUAGGGUGGGCACCCACUUCCACACUCCAAAUGCCUAUUUGACCUGUGUAUCGCUGCAUCCCCACUGCCUGGCAGAUAGCAGGCCCCUAAUAAAUAUGAUUUGAGCAAAUAAAUAUAGUUCUUCAAAAAAUAGGGAGGACUUCUUGCUUCAGGUAAUGGUAGGCUAGGACAUUUGGACCAACCCUCCUGCAGAAAAUAGCCAUUUAUUUUGAUGCAAUAUAUCUGGCUAUGACUAGAGAUUUCAAAUAUUUGGAGGGCUAUUAUGUGAAGAACUAAACUUACUCUUUGUGACAUAGAGGUCAGAAAUUGGUCGUUUCCAUAGAGUAUGAGAGAGACAGAAUUGUGCUCAUCAUAAGUAUCUUUUUUAAAAGUUAGACUUAAUAAAAUGGGCUGCCUUGGUAGGUGGUGAGUUCUCUGUCACGAAAGAGAUUCAGCCACUUGCUCUGAGAAAGCAUGGAGAAUAUCAACAUUGUAAGGGUCGACCACCUCAUCUCUGAGGCCCCCUCCUCACUUAGGUUGCCAUUGCAGGUGGAACACUGGGCUGAGUGUCAAAGAACCUGGGUUCCACAAGCUGUGCGACCAUGGCUGGUUGUUUUGGAUCUCAUUCCUAAUAUCUGUUAGUUAAGCUGACCCGUCAAUACUGACCCACUUCACAGAGUUAUGAAGGGAUUAAAUUAGGUAUUACAUGUAAAUCUGUUUUGUUUGCUUUUUGUUGUUCUUUUUUGUUUUGCUUUUUUCUUUGCAUUAUGAAAUCCCAAGUCAACUUUUUCCAUUCUUUUAUUUUUUUAAAAAUUGACAUCAUCAUUAUAACCACAAAAUAAUUUUUAAAAUGGAAAAAAAAAACUCACCUGCAACCCCACAAUCUAAUACAAUAAUCAUACUUUUUUCCCUUUAUUCUCCUUUAUUGUGACCAAGGAUGACUUUGGGCAUUGCUGUGAGGAACUAUUUCGUUUAACACCCUACUACCUGAACAUGAUGCGUACUCAGCCUUUCACCACCCCCCAAGUAGCUACACAUGAUGUGAUAAUAGUAUUGGUGGUGGUUUUAGAGAGUUGGAGAGAAAACUGAAGUUGGAUUUGGGUAAAAGAAAAAAGAGUGGGAAUUAUUUUUUCUCCAUUCUAAAGCCCAUAAAGCAAUGUUAAUUGUUCCCACCCCUCUGCUAUUCUGUCUCCUCAGGUACUGUGUGCAGAAAUGUGAUUGAGAUUCAAGUCAGGGCCUCUCUGCCCUUUUCCCUCCAGAAACAAAACCAAGAUAAUUUAUCCUGAACACGGUGAAAAAAGGAAGGGAGGGAGGAGAAAAAGUCCGGGUCUCACCUGGGAUUCUCUGUCUCCUGCAACAUGAAGGAUUUAGCCUGGGAGGAGGUGGUGAGAACUCUGGGAGAGAAAAAAGAAGGAAAGAAUAGUUUUACCCAUGCUGAAGUUAAUUUAAACCUUCACCUAGAGAAGCAAAAAAAAAAAACCCACACUUUCCCAUUUUGUGCCUCCCUUCCUAGAGUUUUAGCCAAAGGUUUAGCUAAGUAAUUGGUUUUACCAGCGCACUCACUCCUCCUAUCCCAAGUCUGUUUGACUCCCUCCCCAUCAUCCUCCUCACCUCUUUUCAGGCAGGGUGGGGAUAGCAGCAGGAGGAGAUUUUGGGAGCCUGGCAACUCCUGCAAGGACCGCAGGACAGCCCCUCUGUGGGGAUGCGUGGUGCCCCAUCUGCCGCCCUUCUGAAGAAUGCACUGCCUUCACUUUUUACUGUGUUAGAGUCCAUCCAGACUGUUCUAUCCAAAAAAGUUUCUUUUUCCCCCACAGGCAAUCAGGAAAUGAUUCCUUUCCCGACUGCUUCUGUCUAGUGCCUGGGAAUCUUGAGUCAAUCCCUCAGUAAGUCAGUGACUAGGGAAAUCCCUCUCUGAGCCUCCCAGUUCAUGUUGCUUAGGGAACCUGAUAUUUUCGUGAAACCUGCCUACACAUGGGCAGCCCAACAGCAGAACAAAUGGUGGUGACCAAAGUGAACAAAGAAGUAUAGUUGUGCCAGCUUCGUAGUUGCCCAUGUGGACAAGUCAGCAGGAUCAGGACACGAGGAAGAGUAAAUGUGAGACAGUCAAUGUGACUUCUGCGAUAAACAGAUUUUUAAACCCCGAAAUUUUGCAAAAUUUUGGUGAAACCUGAACUUUCUUCGUUGCAUAUACUGGCACUAUCUGUACCAUCAUACAACUGUCUCACAUUAAAGCUAUUUUUCUUGGGCACUGAUGAGUAAGGUUGGUAUAAGUUCCUCAGAUCAACAAAAACCCAUUUUCCUGUAAGUCUUACAUUUAGUAUUUAAGGAACUAAAACUUAAAUACAUUUUGUGAAAUGGUUGACACUUCACUGAUAAUGAUUUAUUGCUUGGAUUAAUAAAUUUUCCAAAAGUUGUCUUAUGUAGAAUAUGGUUUGCAACCAGCAGAACCAUUAAUCUAUACUGCAAUGAUAUGCACUAUGUAUAAUUGUUUAAAAGCCUCUACUUAAUGAUGUAAAAUGCUCUAUUUAAUUACACAUUUGGGUAAACUGUAUACUAACAUCUGAUGGCAUUUUUCCACUGUUUGUUGCUUUUUUCAAAUACUUUAUUGUACAAAGCUGUUCUUAAUAUUUUUCAAGUUUUUUUCUUUGAAUUUUGCUAAUGUUUUCCUUGAAUUAUGAGCACUGACAGAAUGUGCUUAGCACUUUUGGCUAUUCACACAGCUUUUGAGCAUGAUUUGCAUCCAAUAUUUACAUUGCUAGCAAUAAUAAGCCAUCUGUGAGUUUUGUCAAAA